GUAAGUGUGGCUCAGUGUUAGAGUGCUUGCCUUGCAUGCAUGAGGCCCUGGGUUCAAUUCCUCAGCACCACA
rnacentral:tRNA from 1 species